UUGAGAUACCGAUUCCUGUACUAUCACCGAAGUUAAGCAGCAUUGAGCCUGGUCAGUACUUAGAUGGGUGAUCGCUUGGAAAUACCAGAUACUGUAA